GGGCCACACUAGUGGCAUGUGAAGGUUCCCAGGCUAGGGGUCUAAUCGGAGCUACAGCUGCUGGACUGCACCACAGCCACAGCAACGCAGGAUCCGAGCCACGUCUGCAACCUAUGCCACAGCUCACGGCAAUGCCGGAUCCUUAACCCACUGAGCAAGGCCAGGGAUCAAACCUGCAACCUCAGGUUUCUAGUCAGAUUCGUUUCUGCUGUGCCACAAUGGGAACUCGCACUGUAUCUUAAGGUUGCCCCCAUCUUAUGUGUUUGACCUGGAGUGUCCUGGUUCCGAAAAACCGAGCUCACCUUUCCUAUCAAGUUCCACAGACUGUAGUUACAGCAAGGAUUCCUGUCUGUGUGGAUUAACUUGCAUGUCAGAAUCUACAUCUACUGCAUCUGAUUUCCUCUAGAAGGGAGCCAGGGGAAGUGGAGUUUUCUGAAGGGAGAGAAUGCAGAUGUGAAGUGAGCAGCAGAGUAUAGCGGACUCAAGCUUCAAAAUACAAUCUGUUUGCAUAAGAAACUUCAAGAGGAAGAUGUGCCGAAGGGAGAGAAGGCUUUCCGCAGAUUUCAGAAAACCUUCUAACAAGAAAGUGUCCGUUUUUUGACUCUCCAAGGAGCAACCAGAGUAACAGUGUCUCCAGCUGUUCCUGCCUCUGUCACGGGGGCUGCUGGGAAUGGAAUGAAGCUCCCUCCACCAAAUCCAGCCCGGGUUUUCAUUUUUUCCCCCUGCCCAUCUUCACCCAAGGCUAACCUGGCAGAGCCAAGGCUCACUUCCCUCCUACUCACUGUGGGAAAAAAAAAACCACUCAGGCACUUUGAAAAGGUCAAAGGGGAAAGGGCAGCCGUGGGACUGAGAAGCGGGAAAGAGAAGGGAGCUUGGCAAGAAAACUAGGUCCUUAAUAAUGUGGAUGGGGUUUUGCUCUACCCUUCCAAAAUGCCCACGUCUGGAGACAGCCUGCUCUGCUGUAAAUCUGCUACUUCAAACACCGAGAAACAGGAUUGCUCUUAAUCCCUUAAACCUAAUUAUCAAAGAGACGUUUACUCACCAGCAGCCGCUCCCUUCUGCUUUCUGGUGACCGCUCAUCAUCUGUGUUCCACCACGAAGCUCAUGGUGGUGCCGUCAAAGGAGGGGGGGGCAAUGAUCCUCGGCCCCAGGGGCUGCGAAGUGAUGCUGAUGACAGGCUUACCGUGCAGCUGAGCGAAGCCCUUGGCCCCCACCAGCUGGGAUGUGGCUGCUGGAGCAGAGGAGGAAGAGGAGGCGGGAGACUGACCAGAGGCCAUGAAGUAGGGGGCCUCAGGAAACGGGGCAGCUGCCUCUUUGCUGGGGGGCUCUGCUGCCAUGGGCGAGAGCUCACCGCCCCCCGGAGUGUGAGCAAUUGGUGUGGGCUGCAGGGCGUUGGCGGGCAGCACCGUGGGCAGAAACCCGGGGUAGAUCAUGUAGGUGGGUCCGUAGGCCCCCGGACUCAGGGCCAGGGGAGGCACAGGGAGGGACAUGGGAGCCAAAGCCUGCUGCUGGGAGGUCAUGGGCACAUCCACAUACUGCCCUGUCUCGGGGUCAAACAGUCUCCGGGUAAUGGGCUGCACUGGUGUGUCCACCAGAUAGUACUGGCCAGUCGUCACGUCCAGGAGCAUCUUGCGCUGGGUCUGCUGAGGCUGUGGCUGCUGGAAGGGGUCCGUGGGAACCGCAGCUGGGCCUGCCGGGGCUGGGGCAGGCAUGCCUGGCGGGGAGAAGCAGAGGACCUGGGGCUGGGCCCCCUGCAGGGUGAAGGGCAGUGGCUGCUGGUGGUAGAUGGCUGUGGGGGGGUGCUCGGGGCUCUGUGGCCCCGUGGGGGCAGCUACCGUCUCCCGGGGAUUAUCAGGUUUGGUGCGCCAAGCCGGCCGGCUGGUUCCACUGACCUGAGAGCCUUUGGGGCUACUGGGGACCUGGCUGCGGGCACUCAGGGGGGGCAAGCUGCAGAGAGUGGCCGCCGAGGAGGCUGGGGGCCCCUCCCUGCCAGCCCCAGGCCUGCCCGCGAGCUCCCCAGCUGCAGAGCUUCCCUUAAGAGGGAUGGUCAGGUAGUUCUCACUGUCACUGUUCCUCUUUUCCAAAGUGCUGCCGUUUUUCCUGUGGGUCACCUCUUCGAGAGGUGCCCUGGUGGCCGGAGAGAUCUUGAGGGACCGCAGUCCCUGCGAUUUGAUGCCCUUUGCCGCUGAGGGACUUUCUGGAGAAGGGCCUUGCGGAAACUUGCCAGCGACACCCCCGGUCUUCUGGGUGCUGCUGGCGCUCACUGUGAACACGUUCCGGGUGCUGGGGAGCGGGGGCAGGGGCUGCAGGGGCUGCAGGGGCUGGGCUCUGUCCGCAUCCUUGUGCACGGGCGGGAUGUAGAGGGACCGGGGCCUCUCCCUGGCCAGGUUCUCAAAGGCGGCCGCGCGGGCGGACACGCUCUCGGUGCUCGGGUUGGAGUUUCUCCGCUGCAGACGCUCCGCGGGGCCGCCUCGCAGGACCACCCCGCCUUUGUUUCCCGCGCCCCGCUCUUCCGCCUCGCCCAGCCGUUUGGCCACCUUGUCGGGGUCCCGCUCAGCCCCCGCGGCCCCUUCCCUCUCCUCACUGGCGAUGAGCGACAGGACGUGGCUGUCGGUCAUCAGGGGCAAGGGAUCGCUUUUCCGCUUCCACUCGUUCCUGUUGAAGCUGUACAGCUCCUCCAUGGACCUCACCGCGGCGGUCAGCUUCUCCAGGGCAUUGCGGGAUGGCCGGGGGCCUUUCCCUUCCUCCUUGGCCUCCUCCUCUUUGACCUUCUCUGGGGUCUUCUGAGCCUUGGAGACGAUCUUGAGCACAGGGAGGUAGGAGCCCUGCUCAGGCUUAUUGGGGGCAAUGGUGGCCACAGGCAGCCUGCCAGAGGCCCUAUGAACCAAGACUGUGCCUUCUGGCGAGGAGGAAUUCAAGACCCGGCAGCCGCCCGCCUUGCCCACGUUCUCCCGGGGUUCUCGGUCCAUGCUGUCUUCCCUCUGGUUCACCACUGCCUGGCACGUAAUCACCAUGGGGGACAGGGAUCCAGAUCCUCCAGCUGCAGGAGCCAGCUGCCGAGGUUUGGGCCCGGUCAGCCCCUGCUCUGGGGUAACGCUGCCCUUAUCGCUGCUGUCCCCUGACCCUUUGAUGAGUUUCCGGACAUCUCUCACCUGGUGGAGGGGGCCUUGUGCCUUGGACUUGUCCCUGACAUCUCUCACUUGGAACUGGGGCACUUUUUCCAGGUUGUCCCCCCGGAAGAGCUUCUGCUGUGCCCUGGUGUUGUCCUCAAUGGUCUUGAAGAGGUUAGAGGCGCUGCCACUGGCCAGUUUGGGCGUGAGCAACUUGGCAAUGUUGAAGUCCGAGCUUGGCUGUUGCACACUCCCCAGCCGGAUCUUGAUUUCGGGAGCCUUGGGCCUGAUCACCGCCGUGGAGGUGGCCUGGGCAGCAGGGUAUUUGGUGGCCUGCUUCCCCGGCUGCUUGUCCUUGGGUGUCUGCUGGAUGUUAGGGACAAAGAGGCGGGACAUGAUGGUGGAUUUGCUGGCAGAGAUCUCCCCGAGAUCGGCCCUCCAGUCGCCCCCUUUGGGAAGUUUCAGCUUCCCAACGGGGGCUUUUUCUUCUCGCUUCUCAGCCUCUUUCUCCUUCCAUGACCGGAAUGCACUGUUCUGACUACGAAGGAAGAUGCCCUUGACAGUCUCUGAUGCACUCUUUUUAAUCUCACAUACUUCUUCUGGCUGUCCGUCGGCGAAAUUACGGCUGGAGCCGGCAUGGCUCUCUCGGGGGGCACUGGCUUUGAAAAUUGGGGAUUUAGACCCGACCAUGGACCCCUCCCCACCUGCAUCAGACACGCUGACCACCGUGUACUCAGAGCCAGCCUCCGAGUGGCGAGAACUCUGCCUCUGCAGGCCCCUGUCUCGCGGCUUCUCGCCCCCAAGAGGUGGGCCCUCUGCCUCCUUGGCCGUGCUGGACAGGUUGUGGUGGGAUGUGUCGGUGACCUCCCCCCUCUCCAUUUUGAACUCGUGUUCUCGCUGCAUCUUCUUGGAGAUGACAUUUUUGAGCAGACUGGAAGCAAACUUGGACUUCUUCUGGGGGCCAUCAGCGCGAGAGGCAGGCUUGCUGCUCUCUGAGGCCUCGGAGCCAUCAUCCGUGUACACCGACCCGGGGCCCUUGCUGGGGCCUUUGGUGGCCUUGCAGGGCCCGGUGGCUGAGCUGGCUUUGCUUUCACUGCGUAAGUUCAGAGGCUCGAGAAGGGUGACCACGCGGGAGCCCGACUGGACCUGCUUCUGGAAACACAGAGGUGUCUCCACGUGUUUGAUUUCCCCCUCGACUUUGCUGACUACGAACUCCAAGGCCUUGGUCUGCGACUUCUUGGACUGGAUGUAGAGCUGGUCUGCGGCGGUCCUGGCCCCACUGCCCUUCCUCAGCCCUGCAGCCACAGAGGCCGCGCUGCUCCUGAGGAGGCUCUGUUCCACCCUGGCUCCAACGCCUCCACAUUUUAAGUCCAGGAAGGUCGACCAGCGCCCAAAGCCGACCUCGGAGAGUGAGGAGGACUCCCGGGAGCUGAUGUUCAGAGCCUCGAAGUAGGGGUAAGCGAGGCUCCGGAAGGCCCGGGAGGUCAGGUUACGCACCUCUUUGUCGGCAUCAUCCAGCUCGCUCACGGCACUGGAGGCUCCGCUGGAGUAGUCCACCAGCUCCUUCGCCCGGAUGGCCCCACACCGGGUUUGCAGGCGAGCAGGGACAGCGAUGAAUUUCUUUGCAUGGUCCUG
rnacentral:lncRNA from 1 species